rnacentral:rRNA from 1 species
GUCCACGCCGUAAACGAUGAGUGCUAGAUGUCGUGGGUAUUGACCCCCGCGGUGUCGUAGUUAACGCGUUAAGCACUCCGCCUGGGGAGUACGGCCGCAAGGCUAAAACUCAAAGGAAUUGACGGGGGCCCGCACAAGCGGUGGAGCAUGUGGUUCAAUUCGACGCAACGCGCAGAACCUUACCUGGGUUAAAUCCACCGGAACCUGGCAGAAACGCUGGGGUGCUCGCAAGAGAGCCGGUGAGACGGUGCUGCAUGGCUGUCGU